rnacentral:rRNA from 1 species
CCCCAGACUCCUACGGGAGGCAGCAGUGGGGGAUAUUGCACAAUGGGGGAAACCCUGAUGCAGCGACGCCGCGUGGAGGAAGAAGGUCUUCGGAUUGUAAACUCCUGUCCGAGGGGACGAUAAUGACGGUACCCUUGGAGGAAGCACCGGCUAACUACGUGCCAGCAGCCGCGGUAAAACGUAGGGUGCAAGCGUUGUCCGGAAUUACUGGGUGUAAAGGGAGCGCAGGCGGACUGUCAAGUUGGGAGUGAAAGCUACGGGCUCAACCCGUAACUUGCUUUCAAAACUGGCGGUCUUGAGUGGUGGAGAGGUAGGCGGAAUUCCCGGUGUAGCGGUGGAAUGCGUAGAUAUCGGGAGGAACACCAGUGGCGAAGGCGGCCUACUGGACAGUAACUGACGUUGAGGCUCGAAAGCGUGGGGAGCAAACAGGAUUAGAUACCCCAGUA